rnacentral:rRNA from 1 species
CGUGAGGGGGUCUAUACGUGCGAGUCGAACGAACGGAGGAAGAGCUUGCUCUUCCAAAGUUAGGGGGGGACGGGUGAGUAACACGGGGGCAACCUGCCUGUAAGUUGGGGAUAACUCCGGGAAACCGGGGCUAAUACCGAAUGAUAAAGUGUGGCGCAUGCCCCGCUUUUGAAAGAUGGUUUCGGCUAUCGCUUACAGAUGGGCCCGCGGGGCAUUAGCUAGUUGGUAGGGUAAUGGCCUACCAAGGCAACGAUGCAUACCCGACCUGAGAGGGUGAUCGGCCACACUGGGACUGAGACACGGCCCAAACUCCUACGGGAGGCAGCAGUAGGGAAUCUUCCGCAAUGGACGAAAGUCUGACGGAGCAACGCCGCGUGUAUGAAAAAGGUUUUCGGAUCGUAAAGUACUGUUGUUAAAAAAAAACAAGGAUAAGAGUAACUGCUUGUCCCUUGACGGUAUCUAACCAAAAAGCCACGGCUAACUACGUGCCAGCAGCCGCGGAAAUACGUAGGUGGCAAGCGUUGUCCGGAUUUAUUGGGCGUAAAGCGCGCGCAGGCGGUCUUUUAAGUCUGAUGUGAAACCCCCCGGCUUAACCGGGGAGGGUCAUUGAAAACUGAAAGACUGGAGUGCAAAAGAGGAGAGUGAAAUUCCACGUGUAGCGGUGAAAUGCGUAUAUAUGUGGAGGAACACCAGUGGCGAAGGCGACUCUCUGGUCUGUAUCUGACUCUGAGGCGCGAAAGCGUGGGGAGCACACAGGAUUAUAUACCCUGAUAGCCCACGCCGUAAACGAUGAGUGCUAAGUGUUAGGGGGUUUCCGCCCCUUUAGUGCUGCAGCUAACGCAUUAAAGCACUCCGCCUGGGGGAGUACGACCGAAAUGUAGAAACUCAAAGGAAUUGACGGGGGCCCGCACAAGCGGUGGAUGCAUGUGGUUUAAUUCGAAGCAACGCGAAGAAUCUUAACGAGGUCUUGACAUUCUUUUGAACAUCUUCUGGAAGACAGAGUCUUUCCCUUUCCGGGGACAAGGGACAGGUGGUGCAUGGUUGUCGUCAGCUCUGUCGUGAAAUGGUGAUUAGUCCCGCACGACGCAUCUUUGAAUUUAGUGCAGCAUUAGUGGUACUCUAGGGACUGCGGUGCAAGCCGGAGAAAGCGGGGAUGACUCAAUCAUAUAUGACUAGACUGUACAGGGUUCCAAUGAUUACAGGUCCGAAGCCA